rnacentral:rRNA from 1 species
UACGUAGGGAGCAAGCGUUGUCCGGAUUUACUGGGUGUAAAGGGUGCGUAGGCGGGCUUGCAAGUCAGAAGUGAAAUCUAUGGGCUUAACCCAUAAACUGCUUUUGAAACUGUAAGUCUUGAGUGAAGUAGAGGUAGGCGGAAUUCCCGGUGUAGCGGUGAAAUGCGUAGAGAUCGGGAGGAACACCAGUGGCGAAGGCGGCCUACUGGGCUUUAACUGACGCUGAGGCACGAAAGCGUGGGUAGCAAACAGG